UACGUAGGGGGCAAGCGUUGUUCGGAAUUACUGGGCGUAAAGGGCGCGUAGGCGGCACGGCAAGUCGGGAGUGAAAGGCCUGGGCUCAACCGAGGAACUGCUUUCGAGACUGCCGAGCUAGAGUGCGGAAGGGGCAACCGGAAUUCCCAGUGUAGCGGUGAAAUGCGUAGAUAUUGGGAGGAACACCAGUGGCGAAGGCGGCUCACUGGACCGGUACUGACGCUGAUGCGCGAAAGCGUGGGGAGCAAACGGG
rnacentral:rRNA from 1 species